rnacentral:rRNA from 1 species
GUGCCAGCCGCCGCGGUAAUACGAAGGGGGCUAGCGUUGCUCGGAAUUACUGGGCGUAAAGGGCGCGUAGGCGGCUCUGGUAGUCAGGCGUGAAAUUCCUGGGCUUAACCUGGGGACUGCGCUUGAUACUGCGGAGCUUGAGGCCGAGAGAGGGUGGUGGAAUACCCAGUGUAGAGGUGAAAUUCGUAGUUAUUGGGAAAAACACCGGGGGCGAAGGCGACCACCUGGCUCG